rnacentral:lncRNA from 10 species
CGACCAGCAGCCAAAUAAUUCUGGGAAUGGAGGAGGGAAGGGAGCUCUCAGCAGGGCGGCCAAGAGAGGCAGCCCUCACUUCCCAGAAAACUUCAAUUCCUCAUUACCUGUGUCAGCUGGGGUUCAAUCAGGAGACAGAAACCACACCAGUUAGUUUGAAAAGAGAAUUCAGCAUAAGGAACUGAUAAUGAGGUAUGAAGUUGUUAAUUAGGUAAGGAGAGGGUAAGGAGAGAGAAGAGUAAGCUUUCAUGGGGGUUGCACCUGCAGGAGCAGCUACCACUCCAGGGCUGGAGAACCCUAAGGAAGAGUUUUGAAGGAGGGUUCCAGAGCCUGUGACCCAGACAUCUGAGGAGGGGGCUCAACUCAGCGGGAGCUGGGGUCUCCGGGUGUGAAGAAAGGACUCCUGCACCCAGACCUCUGCGGAAGGGGCACCUGCCAGCUGGUGCUGGGGUCUCUCAGGCUUCAUUUGCAUCAGAGGUGGGACAGCUUGUUACAUAUCACCCUUGGCUGUGAUCAUAGCCUCAGAUGCUUCUCAACUGGAGCAAACUCAAGCAGGCUGUUUGAAAACAUUUUGAAAACCUCCCAGCCAGAAACCUUGUUCCAGCAGUGCAGAGCAGCUCAGGUCCUGCCUUGAAUCAAAAGGAAGGAGACUGAGCCUCUCAGAGGACCAGGAACCAAGCCAAGGCUUGACAAAACCAGCCUCUCUCUCUCUGCUGUCUGGAAAGGCAGGCACUGAGAGAGAUGACCUUGGCCAGGCCAUGCAGGAAGACGGGAAAAUUGCUUACAGCUCUGACAGGAGCUGCACCCUGCAAAAAACAGCCUUUGGAUUGUUGACUCACCAAACUAGCCAGUUCGUGUUAAUGCAGCUGUGACACAGGAUGGCUUUGCUGCCUCCUAGGUGGUGAGACAAAGGGACGUGAGGAGGGGGCAAAAGGGAACGCAGAAAAAUACCUGGUUCAUGCAGACCUGUGGGAACAGCUGCCAAACAAAAAUUACUGAGGACAUUUGUGAGGGUAACUGGCGGAGAUCUUACCAGAGAUUUGAACUGUAAAGGAAAGUGGUAAAGUUUUAUUUAGGACACCCCAAGGCGGAGCUGAGCACGGUGGAAGGUCCAACUCGAUUCUCGAAUAGUAAGAGAACAAAGUAUCUGGAUACACUUCUCAUGCUCAUUCAUCCUGUGCCAUGUAAUUGGGGUUCAAAACUAGGAUGGAAAACCUAAAAAAAAAUUAUUAGUGAAUGAGGAAGUGGCAAAAGAAAAAAAAAUUUACUCAACAAAGACAAAGGUUCCUUGGGCACUUAGAAUGCACUGGGCACUGUGUUAGGGGUAUUGAGUGGACAAGAGUGAUCACCAGCUUCCAGUCCAGAGAGAAGGGCAGAUGUAGGAUAAGGAGAACCAGGAUGGACACCGAGCAGCAGGAGUUCCAUGUGUUACAAGUUCUGUCCCCAAGGGCCUCUCUGCCUGAGGGUCUCCCGCUGGGACGGCCAUCUUCGUUACCACUGCUCUACCUGCACUUGCGGCUCCCUUAUGGAAGUGGGUAUUUCUGGGCUCUGCCCUCGGAGAGUCUGCUUUCAUCUGCAUGGGGAAGGAAAUCUGUAUUUUUUUCCCCGGGCUCUCCAGGUAAUUAUGGUAAGCUGGGUCUGGAACACUUCCUCUCGUAGACUCAGGUUAGAAAGUUGCUGGGUGGUACAAAGUCCAUGCUGAGAAGGCACAGUUGAAUACAUCCUGCUCUCCUGUAGGAGAUCCUGAGUGUCCUCUCCUCUGGGAGCCAGCCUAGAUGGUGUUAGGGUCCCUCCUCUGUGCUACACUAGUGAUCUGGGCCCGCUUGCUUUAGCACAGUCUGUUAUCAUGCUGGCUUAUUCUAGGUCUCUGCCAUUAGGCUCUGAAUUCCAACAUGGCUGUUGUAUCUCACUCACCUCCUUUUCCCUGGUGUUUGGCAUAAAGGGUAUACAAUAAAUAUCUGUUGCUAAAUGAGGGAGGGGAGCGCGUUUUUUUUGAGAUAGAGUCUCACUCUGUCGCCCAGG